ensembl:lncRNA
UGACCUUUAUUAGAAAGUUAAGCAGUCUGAUGCUUUAGAGAUUUAACCCCUUUAAAUCAAGAGCAGAUGAUUGCUUGCCACAACCAAGACUUCAAAACGGAAACAAAAUCCCCCCCCCCAUUCACUGUGAGACCUCUCAUGCCUAAUCCACAUGCUGUUUUUAUAGUAGUGGAAUAAUGUGUAAUAAAUUCAUAGAUUAAACAGCACUCUAUCCAAGUAUAAUCAAUCAAAAAUGACAGCUGAUUGAUUUCUUUUGUAAAUGAGAACAUACUUAUUGUUUAAUUGAUUUCCGUGUUCUCCAAAAGGUGAUUUGAAAGUCAUAAUUCAAAUGAAGCUUAGCUGUACUUUUAGUACGAUAUUUUACAUAAAUAAAAAUGUUGCUUCUUGAUAAUUCUGAAUGUCUUUCUCCCCUCCCCUUUUCCUAAACUCCGUAAAAAGAGUAUUUAUAAGUCUUAUUUAGGCUAGAAGGCAGAAAGAAUGCUAGUUUUUGCAUGUUUAUUGUGAGGUUAAUGUUUCAAACUCUGGGAAUAUUUUCGUACUUGGAAACAUUCUGUUUUCGCAUAACUUUGAAUGAACAUCUGAGUGUAAGUUAUAUCGUUAUGAAAGAAGCCUCCCUUGGGCCUUAUGACUGUAGAAUUUAGGUACCAUAAAAAGCAAGAAACAGAUGGCAAUGCAACACAAAAGCAUUUUAAAAUAAACAUUAAUACAAGUUGGGAUACACAUCUUAUUAUGGAUGCAGUUUUAAUCAUAUUAACUGUUGUUGACAUUGCUACUUGAACUGCUUCAUGGGCCUGGUGGAGAAAAAUCCCUAAUUACAGUGGAAUAUGAUGCAUGUACACCAUUAACAUAUAUCAUUAACUUAAAAGAGUCAUCUUUUUUUGAAAAAGAUAGUACAAUUCUGAUUUCUGUAAACAAAAAUGAUAAAUAUUUCUAAUUACUCUUAUAUUUUCCAUCUGGUUGUUGCAAAUGUCUCACAAUUCCUUCCUUUUAAAACAAAGAGUGGAGCCUGUGCCCACCAGAUGCGAGAUUCCAGCUCAUACCUGCCACAACUGCUAUUGUUCAUUGUCGGAGUUGAUGGGAGGUAAAGCCCAACAGCAUUUGAAGGGACACAACUUUAACGAUCACAUUCUAAAACGUUUUAACACUUUAGCCCUGUACCUUUUACUACUUGAGUGGGAAGGAAUGCUAGAGCUCUUAGAUCAAGUGUAGAAGCAUUUUAAAUUGAUUCUCUCAAGAUAAAAAUAGACAAGCCGGGCUAAAACACAUAGUAUCAGUGGUUUAGGUAUUUUGAUGCGGAGACAGAGGUUGGUAGUUUGAUAGAGGCUGGACUUGAUGUUCUGCAGUUCUAAGAUCUACACCCAGACGUUCUGAUGCAUAUGCAGAGUAAUUUGCAAAAUGAUUUUCCACAUUCAUUUAAGUGACAUGAAUUAACUCCCAAGGCUAGAAACUGGGCAACGUCAGAUGGAUUACAUCAAUUGCCAGUAACAAAGGUUGAAGUCAGUCUCCAUUUUGUAUCAGAUCAUUAUACUUGUUAGUGCUAUAACAUGUUUCUUAUUAUUAUAACCAAUUUCUGUUGAGUUUCCUUUUCAAUAUAAGGUGGUUUUAUAUAUUAUUCUCUACACAUGAAAAGGCAGGGUCUAAAUAACUUGUAUGCAGUGGAAAUGAAUGCAAAAUCUGCUCCAAUUUUUGACAACAUCCAGGGAAGGAUUUCUUGCAAUUAUAGACCCGGAACACCAGAUGGCAAUAGAUUAGGCUGCUCAUAUGUAUGUGGAUGGUUUGCCUGUGGGAUAUACAGUAUGAUAUCAAUUGCAUAAGCAUUCAGCCUAUUCUGAUCAAGAAGUCACAACUCAGGUUGUGCCCCCAUGAACCAGAUUCCUGACCCAUUGAACCAUGGCUUCCAGUGUGUAUAAUCAUGGAAAGAAGACAAUCCAGAGGGAUAUUUUACUGCUCAAACAGCAUUGAAACUUGCACUGAAAUAAAUGACCAGUGGUAUGCA